rnacentral:ncRNA from 1 species
UAGAGGCGAUGAAGGACGCACUAGACUGCGAUAAGCUGCGUGGAGCUGUCAAGAAGCUUUGAGGCGCAGAUGUCCGAAUGGGGCAACCCAACUUGCAGCAAUGUAAGUUACUCUAUUUAGAGAGCGAACCUAGCGAAGUGAAACAUCUCAGUAGCUAGAGGAAAAGAAAUCAACGAGAUUCCCUCAGUAGUGGCGAGCGAAAGGGGAAAAGGGCAAACCAGAUAGCUUUCCNGAAGCUGCAUGAAGACACUAUGUUUGUAGUAGGGUGGGUGUGUAAGUGCAGCAAUGCAUUUUAGCUAACCACUACUA